rnacentral:sRNA from 1 species
UUUACAGCCCUGGAGUCUGAAGUGCUGGAUUUAACAGGUACCCCGACAGCCGCUUGCCCCACAUGGCCCCAUCAAUAUCCCUCAACCCUGGAUGUAGAAGGGUAACUUCUAAGAGCGAGUGGGGAGUUCAGUCCUCCGGGCCCUUUCAAUCCCUGGCCUCU